GCUGGGUGUGGUGGUGCACACCUGUGGUCCCAGAUACUUGGGAGGCUGAGGCAGGAGGAUCAUUUGAGCCUGGGAGGUUGAGGCUGCAGUGAGCCAUGAGUGUGCCACGGCACUCCAGCCUGGGUGACAGGGUGAGACUCUGUCUCUU
ensembl:misc_RNA Metazoa_SRP Metazoan signal recognition particle RNA